rnacentral:lncRNA from 1 species
UUUUCUCAACAUCUCCUCUCUCUCUCACACCGUUAACCCAUCGGAGUAACCAUUUUUGGCGAGAUUCCAACUAUCAAACCUUCUUCAUCUUCCCCUUUACCACAAGACCAACAACUCCAUGCCUUCUCUCUUCGUUGUCAGCCACCGAAAGAAUCAAAGAAACCACUACGAACUAUCAGAGCCAACCCAUGCGCCGCCUCUCCUUGACUUCACCACUGCUGGCUCGCCGGAGUUGUGCUCGGCGAGAUCCAACUGAGAAACCGCCACGCGCCACCACCCAAGCCCAGAUCUGUCGCCAUCAGCCACAUCGCGGCAGCCACCCCUCUUUUUCUUUCCCUUUCGAUUUUGCUCAUCAAGAACUGGCCAUUAAUUGGCCGUACUUACGUUUUUCGGCGUUGCUCCGGCAUACGCCGUUGAAGCAAUGCCAACCUUUAUUUGUCAUAGUCUUCGAUCUGCUUAAUAAUUUGCCUAUUUUAUGGAUUUGGGUGGUUU